AUUCUUGUAGUUGAAAUACAACGGUGGUUUUUCAAGCCAUUAGUUUUGGUUAAAGUCCUAACAGGAAUU
rnacentral:tRNA from 1 species